GACGAACGCUGGCGGCGUGCUUAACACAUGCAAGUCGAACGAAGAGCGACGGAAGCUUGCUUCCAUCAAUCUUAGUGGCGAACGGGUGAGUAACGCGUAAUCAACCUGCCCUUCAGAGGGGGACAACAGUUGGAAACGACUGCUAAUACCGCAUACGAUCUGACCUCGGCAUCGAGGAUAGAUGAAAGGUGGCCUCUAUUUAUAAGCUAUCACUGAAGGAGGGGAUUGCGUCUGAUUAGCUAGUUGGAGGGGUAACGGCCCACCAAGGCGAUGAUCAGUAGCCGGUCUGAGAGGAUGAACGGCCACAUUGGGACUGAGACACGGCCCAGACUCCUACGGGAGGCAGCAGUGGGGAAUCUUCCGCAAUGGACGAAAGUCUGACGGAGCAACGCCGCGUGAGUGAUGACGGCCUUCGGGUUGUAAAGCUCUGUUAAUCGGGACGAAAGGCCUUCUUGCGAAUAGUUAGGAGGA
rnacentral:rRNA from 1 species